AGAGUUUGAUCCUGGCUCAGGAUAAACGCCGGCGGCGUGCCUAAUACAUGCAAGUCGAACGGGAGUAGCAAUACUCUAGUGGCGUACGGGUGAGUAACACGUUGGUAACCUACCUUCGAGACCGGAAUACCGAAUAGAAAUGUUCGCUAAUGCCGGAUGAUGCCAUUUCAUCGCAAGGUGAUUUGAUUAAAAGCAGCGUUUGCUGCGCUUGAAGAUGGACCUGCGUCGCAUUAGCUAGUUGGCGGGAUAGAGGCCCACCAAGGCGAGGAUGCGUAGCCGAGCUGAGAGGCUAAUCGGCCACAUUGGGACUGAGACACGGCCCAGACUCCUACGGGAGGCAGCAGUAGGGAGUAUUUGGCAAUGGGGGAAACCCUGACCGAGCAACGCCGCGUGUGUGAUGAAGGCCUUCGGGUCGUAAAACACUGUGAUUAGUUGGGAAACUUAUCUAUAGGAAAUGAUAGGUAACUGACCAGCUUAUUAGAAAGCAACUGCUAACUACGUGCCAGCAGCAGCGGUAAUACGUAGGUUGCAAGCGUUAUCCGGAAUUAUUGGGCGUAAAGAGUGAGCAGGCGGCUUUGUAAGUUGAGGGUUAAAUACUGCGGCUUAACCGUAGUCCGUCCUCAAAACUGCAUGGCUAGAGUGCUGGAGAGGUAAGCGGAACUCCACAUGUAGCGGUGAAAUGCGCAGAUAUGUGGAAGAACACCGGCGGCGAAGGCGGCUUACUAGACAGUUACUGACGCUCAGUCACGAAAGCGUGGGGAGCAAAUAGGCUUAGAUACCCUAGUAGUCCACGCUGUAAACGAUGAGAACCAAGUGCCGGGCCGUAGGUUCGGUGCCGAAGCAAACGCGAUGAGUUCUCCGCCUGGGUACUACGUUCGCAAGAAUAAAACUUAAAGGAAUUGACGGGGACCCGCACAAGCAGUGGAGCAUGUGGUUUAAUUCGUGGCUACGCGGAAAACCUUACCUGGGUUUGACAUCCCUGUAAAGGACCUAGAGAUAGGUAGAUAAUUAUACAGGUGAACGGUGGUGCAUGGCUGUCGUCAGCUCGUGUCGUGAGAUGUUGGGUUAAGUCCCGCAACGAGCGCAACCCUUGCCCCUAGUAGCCAGCGGACAAAGCCGGGGAUUCUAGGGGGACCGCCCGGGGCAACCGGGAGGAAGGCGGGGACGACGUCAAAUCAUCAUGCCCCUUACGGCCUGGGCCACACACGUGCUACAAUGGCACCUACAGAGGGAGGCGAACCUGCGAAGGGGAGCGAAUCCGAGAAAAGGUGUCCCAGUUCGGAUUGCAGGCUGCAACCCGCCUGCAUGAAGCCGGAAUCGCUAGUAAUCGCGGAUCAGGACGCCGCGGUGAAUACGUUCCCGGGUCUUGCACACACCGCCCGUCA
rnacentral:rRNA from 1 species